rnacentral:rRNA from 1 species
AGAGAAUAGAUACCCGGGUAGUCCACGCCGUAAACGAUGAUUACUAGGUGUCCGGGAUGUUAACCUCCUGGGUACCGUAGCUCACGCAUUAAGUAAUCCGCCUGGGGAGUACGGUCGCAAGACUAAAACUCAAAGGAAUUGACGGGGGCCCGCACAAGCGGUGGAGUAUGUGGUUUAAUUCGAAGCAACGCGCAGAACCUUACCUGGGCUUAACAUCCCCUGACAUCCUCAGAGAUGAGGCUUUCCCUUCGGGGACAGGGAGAUAGGUGCUGCAUGGCUGUCGUCAGCUCGUGUCGUAAGAUGUUGGGUUAAGUCCCGCAACGAGCGCAACCCUUGCCUUUAGUUGCCACCAUUAAGUUGGGCACUCUGAAGGGACUGCCGGUGUUAAACCGGAGGAAGGCGGGGAUGACGUCAAGUCCUCAUGGCCCUUACGUCCAGGGCUACACACGUACUACAAUGGCAGAGACAAAGCGUCGCGAAGCCGCGAGGUGGAGCUAAUCGCAAAAACACUGUCUCAGUCCGGAUUGAAGUCUGCAACUCGACUUC